GGUUAAGUUAGAAAGGGCGCACGGUGGAUGCCUUGACACUAGGAGUCGAUGAAGGACGGGACUAACGCCGAUAUGCUUCGGGGAGCUGUAAGUAAGCUUUGAUCCGAAGAUUUCCGAAUGGGGAAACCCACCAUACGUAAUGGUAUGGUAUCCUUAUCUGAAUACAUAGGGUAAGGAAGACAGACCCAGGGAACUGAAACAUCUAAGUACCUGGAGGAAGAGAAAGCAAAUGCGAUUUCCUGAGUAGCGGCGAGCGAAACGGAACAUAGCCCAAACCAAGAGGCUUGCCUCUUGGGGUUGUAGGACAUUCUAUACGGAGUUACAAAGGAACGAGGUAGACGAAGCGACCUGGAAAGGUCCGUCGUAGAGGGUAACAACCCCGUAGUCGAAACUUCGUUCUCUCUUGAAUGUAUCCUGAGUACGGCGGAACACGUGAAAUUCCGUCGGAAUCUGGGAGGACCAUCUCCCAAGGCUAAAUACUCCCUAGUGAUCGAUAGUGAACCAGUACCGUGAGGGAAAGGUGAAAAGCACCCCGGAAGGGGAGUGAAAGAGAUCCUGAAACCGUGUGCCUACAAAUAGUCAGAGCCCGUUAAUGGGUGAUGGUGUGCCUUUUGUAGAAUGAACCGGCGAGUUACGAUCCCGUGCGAGGUUAAGCUGAAGAGGCGGAGCCGCAGCGAAAGCGAGUCUGAAUAGGGCGUUUAGUACGUGGUCGUAGACCCGAAACCAGGUGAUCUACCCAUGUCCAGGGUGAAGUUCAGGUAACACUGAAUGGAGGCCCGAACCCACGCACGUUGAAAAGUGCGGGGAUGAGGUGUGGGUAGCGGAGAAAUUCCAAUCGAACCUGGAGAUAGCUGGUUCUCCCCGAAAUAGCUUUAGGGCUAGCCUUAAGUGUAAGAGUCUUGGAGGUAGAGCACUGAUUGGACUAGGGGUCCUCAUCGGAUUACCGAAUUCAGUCAAACUCCGAAUGCCAAUGACUUAUCCUUAGGAGUCAGACUGCGAGUGAUAAGAUCCGUAGUCAAAAGGGAAACAGCCCAGACCGCCAGCUAAGGUCCCAAAGUGUGUAUUAAGUGGAAAAGGAUGUGGAGUUGCUUAGACAACUAGGAUGUUGGCUUAGAAGCAGCCACCAUUUAAAGAGUGCGUAAUAGCUCACUAGUCGAGUGACUCUGCGCCGAAAAUGUACCGGGGCUAAAUACACCACCGAAGCUGCGGAUUGAUACCAAUGGUAUCAGUGGUAGGGGAGCGUUCUAAGGACAGUGAAGUCAGACCGGAAGGACUGGUGGAGUGCUUAGAAGUGAGAAUGCCGGUAUGAGUAGCGAAAGACGGGUGAGAAUCCCGUCCACCGAAUGCCUAAGGUUUCCUGAGGAAGGCUCGUCCGCUCAGGGUUAGUCAGGACCUAAGCCGAGGCCGACAGGCGUAGGCGAUGGACAACAGGUUGAUAUUCCUGUACCACCUCUUUAUCGUUUGAGCAAUGGAGGGACGCAGAAGGAUAGAAGAAGCGUGCGAUUGGUUGUGCACGUCCAAGCAGUUAGGCUGAUAAGUAGGCAAAUCCGCUUAUCGUGAAGGCUGAGCUGUGAUGGGGAAGCUCCUUAUGGAGCGAAGUCUUUGAUUCCCCGCUGCCAAGAAAAGCUUCUAGCGAGAUAAAAGGUGCCUGUACCGCAAACCGACACAGGUAGGCGAGGAGAGAAUCCUAAGGUGUGCGAGAGAACUCUGGUUAAGGAACUCGGCAAAAUGACCCCGUAACUUCGGGAGAAGGGGUGCUUUCUUAACGGAAAGCCGCAGUGAAUAGGCCCAAGCGACUGUUUAGCAAAAACACAGCUCUCUGCGAAGCCGUAAGGCGAAGUAUAGGGGGUGACACCUGCCCGGUGCUGGAAGGUUAAGGAGAGGGGUUAGCGUAAGCGAAGCUCUGAACUGAAGCCCCAGUAAACGGCGGCCGUAACUAUAACGGUCCUAAGGUAGCGAAAUUCCUUGUCGGGUAAGUUCCGACCCGCACGAAAGGUGUAACGAUUUGGGCACUGUCUCAACCAGAGACUCGGUGAAAUUAUAGUACCUGUGAAGAUGCAGGUUACCCGCGACAGGACGGAAAGACCCCGUGGAGCUUUACUGUAGCCUGAUAUUGAAUUUUGGUACAGUUUGUACAGGAUAGGCGGGAGCCUUUGAAACCGGAGCGCUAGCUUCGGUGGAGGCGCUGGUGGGAUACCGCCCUGACUGUAUUGAAAUUCUAACCUACGGGUCUUAUCGACCCGGGAGACAGUGUCAGGUGGGCAGUUUGACUGGGGCGGUCGCCUCCUAAAGUGUAACGGAGGCGCCCAAAGGUUCCCUCAGAAUGGUUGGAAAUCAUUCGUAGAGUGCAAAGGCAUAAGGGAGCUUGACUGCGAGACCUACAAGUCGAGCAGGGACGAAAGUCGGGCUUAGUGAUCCGGUGGUUCCGCAUGGAAGGGCCAUCGCUCAACGGAUAAAAGCUACCCCGGGGAUAACAGGCUUAUCUCCCCCAAGAGUCCACAUCGACGGGGAGGUUUGGCACCUCGAUGUCGGCUCAUCGCAUCCUGGGGCUGUAGUCGGUCCCAAGGGUUGGGCUGUUCGCCCAUUAAAGCGGUACGCGAGCUGGGUUCAGAACGUCGUGAGACAGUUCGGUCCCUAUCCGUCGUGGGCGUAGGAAAUUUGAGAGGAGCUGUCCUUAGUACGAGAGGACCGGGAUGGACGCACCGCUGGUGUACCAGUUGUUCUGCCAAGGGCAUAGCUGGGUAGCUAUGUGCGGAAGGGAUAAGUGCUGAAAGCAUCUAAGCAUGAAGCCCCCCUCAAGAUGAGAUUUCCCAUAGCGUAAGCUAGUAAGAUCCCUGAAAGAUGAUCAGGUUGAUAGGUUCGAGGUGGAAGCAUGGUGACAUGUGGAGCUGACGAAUACUAAUAGAUCGAGGACUUAACCAU
rfam:Bacillus anthracis str. 'Ames Ancestor', complete genome.